CACGAAUUACGUUUUUAUUGGAAAUUUCCAAUAAAACAGCUGUCAAAAACAUACAAAUUAAAAGAAGAAAACAAAAAUUGCGGAACAAAUUUAUAAACGAAGAAUAAAUAAACAAAAAAUAUAGAAAUUAAAUGAAAAUUGUUCGAAAAGCUGAAAAUCAGCAAAAUGUGUGUGGAAGAAACAAGUUAUGUUGUUGUAGUAAAAAAGAGCGAAUAAUAUGGGAACAAAUUAUGUAUGUGUGAUUGUAUAGCCGUAGGUUUUAUGAUGUUAACGCGAUCAACCAAAAAAUCUGUUCCGGAACAUUUUAUAUAAAGAACCCACAUGAGGUAUGUAUUUAUUGAACCGGCGGCAGCUGUCUUCUACGUUAUGGCCAAUUUUUCAGUUCUAAAAAAAAUUUAAUAAAUUGUUGUAUAUUUACAUUGUGUAUAUAAUGUGAUAAACUAACAAAAUUCUGUUCCCGAACACUUUUUAUAACAAAAUCCAUAUGAGGUAUUUACCCUUCCGGCGGCUGCUGACUACAACGUGUAAAUCAUAAAAAUUACGCCGCCGGAGUAGAAUUUUUCAUUUACAACAAAGAUUCUUUCAUUCGGUAUAUAAUUUUUCCAUAAAUUUGUAUGUUUAUUUUGUUACGAACCGGUUGUAAGGCGAGUUUUCCCACUAACUGGCAUGACUGACCUCAGGAGGUUCCAACCCUUUCUCACCAAACUCGUAUUCUACACGAAACAAAAAGAGAUAGAUGUUGUCCUCUGUAUCUGCCCUCCCAACCUUGUCGCUGACGGAUCCAAUGAAUUCUCUUUUUAGCGACCCGAAACCCACCUGACCCUUUUAACCACUUACCGGUCUAUCAUCGCCAUUACCUUUACUUAAUUAGACCAACAUUGGCUUAAGUUUCUACUUCCUUAAUUCGGAUUCUGACGUUUCUAUAGUCUACAACUAAAGGAGCUCCCUGAGUUAUAUGUUAUAUACCUUGACACUUUUAAAAGGCUUCUCUUUACGCGCUCUUCUUAAGCUGUGUUUCACGUGAUUCAAACAAAAAGACACAAAACUACCGGACACUAUCACGGUUUACAAAAUUAUUUUUUUCACGAUUUCACAACUACCUUAAUUUAUCUUAAAUCUAUUUAAUUUCUUUUUCUCUUAUUUUAAAAAUUAUUUCCGGACUCUUUCUACUUUUAAUAGUUGGUUCUAAAUCUCUUGUUUGUUUGUAACUGGCCUUCUAUAUGACAAGUUUAAAAUUUCUUUCAUUAAUAACCCAGCAAAAAAAGUGUGGAAAAAGAUGUGGAAUUUUCAUCACAACUAGUAACCCGAAGUGCUUCAAAUUCAGGUGAAAAACCUAUGAAUUUUACAUUAGCGUGUCAUUGGAGGGAUGUUGUUCAUUUUUGACAACUUUGAACUACAUCUAAUCUUAUCUUUAGAAGCUGUAAAAAUCCGAUAUUUGUACGUCAAAAAUAAACCACAUUCUUUCAAUGAAACGCUUAUGUAAAUUUCAUCAAAAUUUGAAGUACUUCGAAUAUUUUGUUUGUAGUGACUUUUCUACAUCUCUUUUCUCAUUUUUAACUGUGUUUUAAUUUAUAAGUAUAUGUUUGGUUUAUAAAAGCGAAAAGUAUGCAAUCGCAUUUUUAGAUGUGAUUAAGUUGUCGUUUGUAAAGUAUGACAUCAAUUAUUUUUUGCUGGGUAAUAUAAUAAUACUUAAGGAAGAUUUUGUAUGACUUUUAUGUUGGUUAAAUUAAGUGAGCUAUAUAAUUGUUAUUAUUCCAUACACUAAAUACGUUUUUUAAUAAAUAUUUAAAUAUAAAAAUGUAAAAUUUGUCACCAAUUCCUUUUUCUUUAGUGAUUAAAAUGUUUCCUUUUUAUUUGGAUCAUUUUUAACAACUUUUUUCUUAGCUUUCUUAGCUAUUACUGCACUAUUCCGCAAAUUAUUUAAAAGGAAUAAAUAAAAAUUGUUACCUGGCUAAUUACUUGGAUGGCAGACUUUCCAGUAUUGCGGUCCUUCUUUCUUGUAAAUUAGCCAGCUAUAAAGGAUUAACAAAAUCAUUUUUACUCCUACACACUAUGCUAUAUUUCUAUAAAAACUUACGUUUUUAUUAUUGUUGUUCAAAUAAGUUUAUAAUUAUUUGAUCCUCUAGGAUUAUUUUAAGGACAUUAAAUUUAUCGAUUUAUUGUUCACUAAAUCUCAGACUACAGUCCUUUUCUUUUUCCUUAUCUUCAAAAAAAUUUUCUUCCUUUUUUUUAUUUAUUAAAUUUACUUUUUCUUAAAACACUUUUGCACACUCACUUAACUUUUCUUUCACCAACUGUGUUAUUUUCAUUUCUAUCGUGAGCUUAAAUACCCUAUUUUUGUCUUCCCCUACAUUUAUGUAAAUAUAAUUUCCCGCAAAUUUCAUUCUCCUAAAAUUCUGCUACAUAAGGUAUUUAUUUACAUAUUUCCCCCACUCAUCAUGUCGUAGCCUUUUUCUGUCCGCCGAUCAUGUAAACCGCGCUAUUUGUUUUUAUUACAUUAUAUAAUUUACCGCGGCAUAAUUUUACUAUAUAUAAUUAAUUUAUUUCUUUUCUAUUUAUUUUUAUAUUUGGCGGAUUUUUCCUACUUGGCAGACUUUUCUUACUUAUUUGCACGGCCAAAUAAGUAAUUCAAGCUUAAACUCCCCCAAUCAAGGCGCUUUCCCUAUUUUCUAUGCAUUCCUACCGCCUUAUGUACUAGGAGCUCAUAAUUUUUAGCAGUAGUAUUUUCAUUCAAUUAUUUUUAAUUUUUUUACUACAAAAAAAUACACAUUCCCAUGUCUGCAUGAAUGAAAUACACCCCUACACUUUUACGAUAUACGUUGCGUUGCCAAUACUUUUACUACUUUUGACAUUUGAGCAACCCUGUUUUCAUUAAUUCUGACAACAGCUGGACGGACAAGCACAUGGAGGUAAGUAUUUCGGUAAAUUUUUUUAUUUUUAAUUUGUAUUUUUCUUUCGUUUUCAGCAUAAAAAUAAAAGAAGAACUACUGGAUAUAAUAAGAGCAACAAAAUACGAGAACUAAACAAAGAUACAAACGAAAAUCAAAAAUUACAACAUAAAAACAAAACUAAUAAACUAACAUACUAACAAAAAAAAACCAGAAAAACCAAAACAAAAUUAACCAAAAUACUAACAUGAAAACAAAUUAACCACUGGGACUCGGGCAGGAGGUAGUGCCUCCAUUGGCCGUAAGCCCCUCCCCACUAAAUAGUCAGAUAAUACACCGGGGCUCGGGCAGGAGGUGGUGUCUCCAUUGGCCGUAAGCCCCUCUCCAUUGAUUUCAAAACAGGGAGUAGAGGCAAUUUUGAUUUUCUGGCCUCCUCCCGACCGUUUCCCUAAGGUCCACCCACGCAAAAAUUUUUUUUUUUGGGUGGCCAGAUGAUAAAACCGUCGGUGCGGUGAGGUAUACCGCAAUAAAACUCCGGGGUCGCUGUUGACUAGCAGAGGGAUCGGUGUGCGGUAACAUACCGAACAAGCCCAACGCGGGGAACGCCCAUGACCCUGAAGAAGAGUCUAGUCUGAAGAGAUAACCGGGCAAUUAAUAUGGAAACUUCGCGACAUUGUCUGAUUGUGUUCGAUGAUGCUGAAAUAUUGAAAUUGAGGUUACUGUAACGAUAUUAGGCAAGAGUACUCUUACAAAUUUUUUUCUUGUUUAAAGAAAGAAAAUUGUAGAGACAAACCCAUUGGAAUUCAAAUAAGUAAUAUUUCUUAUUACUGGUGCUUUGCCAGUAGUGCACAACGUGGUGCUAAAUUUAAACGAACGCCUACAAAAAGGAUCUUUGAGGCAGGUAAAUCUAAGCUUAUAAGGGCUGCGUCAAUUUAAACUUCGGGUUACGCCUCUACUCUUUUUCUUUAUAUAAGAUGAAGUUGCCUAGUAUUCGUCACACAUCUCUUCAAACCUUUAGAGAAGAAAAGAUUGAGAGAUGAUUUAACUCUCAACACAUUUCAAUCAUCAUUUCACAGGAAGUAUAAUCUGUGUAACAAAUCGUGUAAAUAAGAAUUUUUACUUUGUGAUUUUUUUUCCAGAUUUAACAAAAAUUUCUUGGACUGGCACAACAUAGAAGAAUAUUGCACAUGCCCUAAAUCUAAACUAAAUGUUGGAAAAAAUCAACAAAAUAAUUUCUCUAAUUUACACUAAAUUGUAUCACAGGUUGGAUUGUUGUAUUGUGGUUUCCUUACUCUAUAUUGCACUAUUUCUGCUGUUGUUAUUAAGGAGUAUAUGGGUAUUAUUGGAAUAUCUAACUCAUUGACUAGUUCUCGACAUACUUUUCCUAAAAUGCUAACUGAAGUACCAGUAUCCAGAAGGCCUUGCAAAUUGACAUUACCAAUCGAAAACUCAGCAUAUGGUCUGGGGUCAGAAGAUUUCUCAUCAGCAGUUUUAAUUGCUUCUAUGAUAUUGUUGGACGACGGAUGGAGAUUUCGGAGUCAAAGAUUCUAUUUCGGACGGAUUCAUAGUUUUUUUGACGUUCUUCGAGAGUGUAGAAAUGUCUUUGCUGGGAUGUCCCUGCGGGUUGUGGGUUGAACGAUGGUCCCAGCUCUCCCUUCGUUCCUGGAAAAAUUUCGAUUGCGGCAAUUGGCACAAUUAGGGGCUAUGACAUUAGAUUUUCCACAACUAUAGCAGAAAAUUGAUCUUUCUUCUGCUGGGAAAUCCAUGAACAUGUGUCCAUUUUGGCGACAGUUCCAGCAUAGUAAUGUUUGCCUUGGAGUGGAAUUGCUGGCAUUAACGAGUCUAACUGCCGCUACUUCAUCAAAAGUUUCUUCACGAAAAGGUUGAGUUUCUUGAUCCUCAUAUAGCUCACUAAUUUGGUACCUGUUCGCUACUGCUGGCUGUUGACGAAAGUCUCUUUUAAGGAAAGUUUUUUCGGCAUCUAGACAACUCAUCCUUAACUCUUCCACCGAAGAAACUGUCAUCGGCCUCGGUCAUAGAGAUGCUAAGACGAGAUCUAAAUUGAGUCAUGGCAAAAAAGAACGCAUCGAUCGAUUCUCUUGACAAUUGUCUUCUUUCAACCAUAUCUCUCAUCAGUUCAAAGCUAGACCUGAUUGCUUGGUACUGCUUUAGCAAGGCCGAUUUUAAUGUUGACCAUUCUGUGACGUAAUUGGAUACACCAUAUUGGCUUUGCAGUCGUUCUAAACCGAACACGAAGUCUUCGACAGCUAAUUUGUUGUUGUCCCCAUCUAAUUCUAAUCCCAUUUAUCGAUCUGUUAUAGCUUCUUGUCUCCUCACUGGCUAUGGAUGUGGCUCUUGAUGACGGAGCUGAGGGAAGUUGAAUUUCUGAGGCGUCGACUUGCAUGUUUCCAUCACUGGAAUUUCUGGAUACGCUUGCUUCUUCUAGUUUGCGGUUUUCCUGCUGAGUUUGUUGUACCACUAUGCUUAAUCUGCUGACUGUUGAUGUCAAUUCGGCCAUGGUCUUCUUAAUCUCGGAUAACUGUUUUGGCAAUGAUAAAUGGAUGGGUGUGUUAAGGCGGUUGCUAUUUUGAAUAUUCUUAAUGUGGUUGGCUAAUUUAAAGUGGUUUCAAAUCAUAUUUUCCUGUAUGAUCAAUCGGCUACAUCAUUAUAUUAUCAUCUGAUGUGACAACGACUGUUACGGAUAUUAUCUGAUACAACUAACCUCGUAUACUUAGUUGUAACGAGAGGCUAUCAGACAAUAUACCGUUUCUAUACAUUUUAAUAAUUUGAAAAAAAGAAAACAAAACCUUAAGGUAAUUCGGAAAUAUUUCGCCACACAAUUAAAGAUAACUCGUAUUUACUUUAAGCUGCAGCGAUUUAUCCCGGCGGCUAUAUGAUAAACAUUUCAACGUUUCUCGAGAUCUUUUGGGCUAUUUACUACACUAUCUGUGCUAUUUUUACAUGUGUCGAUGUUCAUACAUGUUU